rnacentral:rRNA from 1 species
AGUGAACGCUGGCGGCAGGCCUAACACAUGCAAGUCGAACGGCUGAACAGUAAUAGCUUGCUCUUACAGGUGGCGAGUGGCGGGUGGGUGCGAGGUACCUCGGUAGUUGUUUUUUAGAAGGGGAGAACACGGGGACUAUUACGCCAUACGCCCAUAGGAACUAAGGGUGGGAGCUGCGGACCUUCGGCUAUCACACGAUCGUAUGACGCGUUGUCGGAUUAGCUAGUUGGCGGGGUAAAGGCCCACCAAGGCGAAGCUCCGUAGCUGGUCUGAGAGGAUGAUCAGCCACACUGGAACUGAGACACGGUCCAGACUCCUACGGGAGGCAGCAGUGGGGAAUAUUGGACAAUGGGCGCAAGCCUGAUCCAGCCAUACCGCGUGUGUGAAGAAGGCCUUCGGAUUGUAAAGCACUUUUGUUUGGGAAGAAGAGCAGCAAGUUAAUACCCCGCUGUUCUGACGGUACCAAAAGAAUAAGCACCGGCUAACUUCGUG